UAAAAUAUGUCGUUUUAACAUGCUAAAUAUACCCGGUUUGGUUUCACUUGGUAAAUAUAUCAUUCUCCAUAACAUUUCUUUCUUUCAUUAUCGUUUUAUCAUCUCCGUUUUCUUUCCUCAAUUAUCGUUUAUUACUUCAUCCAAGUGAAUAUUACUAAACCCUAAACCUAAACUUAAACCCUAAAUUUAAACCCUAAACACUAAAGCUAAAUCCUAAACCCUAAAUUUAAACACUAAACCCUAAACCCUAAGCCCUAACCCCAAACCCUAAACCUUAACCCUAAACCCUAAACCCUAAACAUAAACCAAAACCCUAAACCCUAAACUCUAAACCCUAAACCCUAUUGUGUCGAUCUUGAAUUUACAUCUUGAAGUAUUAAUCGUGAAUCCAUUAACUGUAAUCUUUAUAUAGUAAAACAAUGUAUUUUCAAGAGGUUUAGUACCUAAGCUUAGGUGGGGCUGUAAUGUAUAUUCCCUUUUCCC
rnacentral:lncRNA from 1 species